AACCCUAGGAUCGAUCCCUCGUUAGAGUAACGAGGCCCCCUCGACUCCUCUCUCGAUCUGUUUCCGGGAUUGAACGCCGCCGCCGCCGCCGCCGAUCCCAUCUUCCCCGGCGACAUGCCUCGCCGGCGGCCUCCUCUCCCCCAUCCACGCCGGCGACCUCCCUCUACCCCGCCCUCUCCGUCAACCCGUCUCUCCAGCAGCUCGGGCGAAACCCUAGCCCACCCGAUGCCACGACAACCUAGCAGGCAGGCGCGAGGAGCCCUGCCCAGCCAUGGCGACACCGCCGGCGGCCUCCUCCUCCCCCUCACCUUCUCUCCCUCUCCCAAGGGAGGGAAGGUAAUGGAAGGGAUCCGGCGGCAAGGGGAGGCAGCGCCCAGAUCCGCAGCCGCACCGGCGGGCCGCCAUCCCUCGAGGUCGUCCAUGGAGGUCCGAACGUGAUACAGGCUUGAGCAGUCAUACAGUAGCCCAGUAACAAGCCGAGGCCUAGGAAGUGCCUUCAUGCGACGGCGACCUGAAGGUGUGGGAACAUGCGACGGCGACCUGAAGGCGUGGGAACAGAGCUGGGACGUGCAGCGCCCUGCACAAGUCGGGUCGCGCACGGAGCGAGCGCCGUGCCAACGCAUCCAUCAAUAGGACGCGGUGCCUCCAUGUGUGUGCGGGGUGGAUCCAAGGCCGUGCAAAAUGAGAUCGGCGGCGGGCAGACCUGUGCCGAUUUAAUGGGCUGGUGAUGUUUGCAGGCGAUGGCGCCGCGGCGUGGCUGUGGGUGUGGCCCGACCUCUGCCUCCUCUAUCACGUGCAAUCGUCCUUCUACGCCAUCACCACCUCUCCCUUGAUGUGUUCCUCUUCCUCGUGAUCCCGCCUCCUGUUCCUCGCCAGAUGACUACAACAGCCAGCGGUCACCUCAUAUGCGGCGAGCUCGGAGGAGGUUGCAGGUGGGAUAACUGAUGAGGAAUGCUCGUGACAUUGAUGAACUUGAUAUGAGUGUUUUGUAGAUCAUCAUCCAACCGACGUGCCAGACAUGCUACAUAUUGGCAUGAUGGACUUCUAUGGUACAAGGACAUUGGGCACCAUGUAAAUGUGACUAAUGGUUCGCUUCGGGACACGUUCAGUGUCCUCUGAUGUACUGAAGAAAGCAUAUUAAGCUACAUAAACAUGGAUUCUUCUCUAUUGUCACAAAACAGCUGGCUCUUGGGGUUUCCAAAGCCUCUUUUGGGGAUGCAGCUGGAGGGUUCCAUGGCGUUUUUAGCAGGGACGGUGUGCGGCAGGUUACGUGUGCUGGACACGUCAAGUUGAGGUGCCUAAAGUUUCUAUAUGGCUUAAUUUUGUCGCUCUCAGCACCCUUGCAAGAUCAUUGUUUUAUGAACUCUUCAAAAUUUCUCUACUUUUACUGAAUUUGGGUCUUUGUUUCUAAGAUUCCCCUAACUUAUGUUGUCAUCUGGUUCUCCCAUCUUAUAGGUUAUUUGCUCAGUUGACCAUUUAUAACAAGGAACAAAAAAAUCACUAGGUGUUCUAUACAUGUCCUCCAGUAUGGUAUACUAUUCGUUUUUAAGAAUUUGUAUGCCCUUUUUCUGGAAUGUCGUCUCUUGGAUACAUCAAGAUAGUUGAUUCCAAUUGUUAUUGUUGUUGUUUUCAUACUACAUUGUUGCUACUGUUCCUAAGUGUAGCGUACGAUUUUUUUUGAUCAUCAUUGCCCUUUCUAGGUCAAUUUUGAUAUAUUUAAGCUACUAUAGUUGGGAAGCUAUUUUAGGAAAGUGUCAAUGCUACCUCGGAGGUUUCUUUAAUAUCUGAUGAGUAUCAGCAAAAUAUAUGACACCACAAUGAUGUCUAGAACAGGAAGUGAUUAGGCCUCAAUGCUAUAUCUAUAUGUUUGCUGGAUUGUAGCAGCUUCAAACCGUGUUUUAAGAGCUCCAAUUUUCCCAAAUCUGAAUGCACAAAAACUUCUUGGUAUUUCACAACAAUAUAAAUUACACCGAUUUUUAACUGACUAUCAGGUGUAUCUUCUUUCGGUCUGUUAAUUUGAUCUCCGUGUGAACACAUAUGUGUCAGUUUCAUCAUGCUAGCAAGGAGAAUCAGGUGUUCCUCCGUCGCCGCCGUUGCCACCAACAACAAAAAUGACGACCAGCUCAUGAGACGGCUAAUAGAGAAUUGGAGCCUUCUUGAGAAGGCAACACACUUGAGAUCAAGAGAGAGGGGGGAGAGAUCGAGGGAGGGAGAGGGAGGAAGGAAGGGGGAGAUUUUGCAGGUACACAGGACAACCAUGUUAUAAAAUGUAAAUGAGAUUUGGUGGUGCAUGCAAUAGCUCUGAUUUAUUAGAGUAGUUAUCCCAAGUUCCAAGGGACAAGAACAAGAUAAUGGAGCUCAAGGGGUAUUCAAUCAAGAGGCAAGCUGGGAAAAGAAUAUUCAAACCCCUCUGCCCUUGGAAGUAGCUUCUACGUAAAUUGCAUUUAUUGUUAUAAGAUUGUAAUUAUCAAAUGUAUGAAUCUGUGUGAAAUUGUGCAAAGGCCCGCUUGUUCUUUCACUUUUAAUAGAGUUGCACUGUACAUGGAAUUCAAACUCUUUAAACUCGACAACGAUAUUCUUGAUGAGAGCAUAACAAAACCCUGAAAAGGCACACUUAUUCUUGAA